rnacentral:rRNA from 1 species
UCCUACGGGGCGCAGCAGUGAGGGAUAUUGGUCAAUGGGGGAAACCCUGAACCAGCAACGCCGCGUGAGGGAAGACGGUUUUCGGAUUGUAAACCUCUGUCCUCUGUGAAGAUAAUGACGGUAGCAGAGGAGGAAGCUCCGGCUAACUACGUGCCAGCAGCCGCGGUAGUACGUAGGGAGCGAGCGUUAUCCGGAUUUAUUGGGUUUAAAGGGUGCGUAGGCGGGCUUUUAAGUCAGCGGUAAAAAUUCGGGGCUCAACCCCGUCCGGCCGUUGAAACUGGGGGCCUUGAGUGGGCGAGAAGAAG